GAUAAAUUUUAACUUUAACAAGAUAAAACUAUCUAAUAUAAGGUUUAGUUUGGUAUUGAGGUCUAUCUAAUGUUAUUAGAUAAAAUAGAGUUGGGAUAAAAGCAUAUAGGAAUAUACUUCUACGUCCUCCGGUGAGACCGCAAAAAAUAUAUAGUAACGGACUAAUCGCGAUAUACAGAACUGAAUAUUCUAUACGGAAACAAAUAGGGUAUUUUUCCAUCGUAUUUUCUUACCGCACAUAACGCAAUCUUCCCACAAUCCCAAACAAAGUCUAAGUACUUGAACUUUAGUUUUUUAGUUAAGAAUUUACUUAUAUCUUUUCUUUUUUGUUUUUGCCUAUUUUUUAAUAGUCGAUAUAACAAAAUUAAAAUUUCACCUAAUAAAUAUAAGGAAAUCUAUAAUCAAUAAAAAUAUAAAAAAUUAAUAGAUUUUUAUCUUUAUUAUAUAUAUAUAUAUAUAUAUAUAUAUAUGGUCCGGCUACUAUACUAUUAUGAGUACGAUUGCCCUCGUAUUCAUAAGUUGUUUUCGAUGAUAGAGCUUCCAAAUCGACGAUCCACACCGUUAAACGUUAUUUACAGCAUUUAAAACUUCUAGAAAUCAAAUUUAUAAUUUUUCGACAUCAUUUACCUUACGAUCAAGAGGUCACAAAUUGACAAUUUUUAACGACGGUAUGGAAUACUUUGAGUUUAACGGUAUAAAAGAAUCGGGAAUUUGUUGAAUUUUUGAUAGAAAAUUCUAUUCACUACAUAGAUAAAGAUCAAUAACUCCGAUCUUUGAAUUGAAGGAUCCGAUCAUCCUUUUUUUAGGACGUCGUUCGAUUUUGACCGUUCAUUUUAUGCCCACUUGAUGGACUUUAUUAUGAUUUCGAAAAUUUACGAAAUUUAUUUUCUAGAAGUUUCAAGUACUCUAAAUCAUAUUUAACGGAAUGGAUCGUCGAUUCCAGAGCCUCAUCAUGAAAACAACUUAUGAGUACGAGGGCUCCAAUACUCAUAAUAUAUAGUAGCCAUGCUCUCUCUCUCUCUCUCUCUCUCUCUCUCUCUCUCUCUCUAUAUAUAUAUAUAUAUAUAUAAAAUUUAUAUUUAUAUUAUUUAUUUAUUUUUUAUCUAUACAAACUUAUGAAAGGGCGACCCUAACGGAGCCCUCCCCGCGUUCAGUGGGGGUCCUGCGACUUUUCGCUCCUCUCCGCCUACCUGUACGGUGCUGCACGCCCCCUCCCUCCUUUCUUCCUCUUUGUCUUCGCCGGGGUGGUCCGCUCUGACUUUUUCGUUCUCUCCGCCAUCGCUGCGGUGGUCGCUGUCCUCCCUCAGGAACGUAGCCGCCUUUCCGUACGGCACGACGUCCCCCCCUUGUCAUUACACUAAUUGGGAACCAAAAGAAGGUCUCCCCUUAUUUUGGGGAGGUUGUAGGGCCCACAUAUUUUUUUAAAGAAUUAAUUGCACAUUGGUCCAGAUCUUUUCACUAUUUUUUUAUUUUGAUCUCUAUUUUUUUUUUUGCCCCAACCUUUUCACUAUUUUUUAUUUUGGUCCCUAAUCUUUUUUUAAUAGCACGGUUAAAAGAGGUGUUAAAAUUAACAAAAUUAUCAUGUAAGCACUUAGUUGGCUUUCUUUUUUUUUAUUUGUAAAUUCUACCUUGAUGAUAAUAGAAAAAUAUUAUUCAUCUUUUUUAAUACUGUGGUGAGUUUUUAUUUUAUUUUAAACUAAUUUAUUCAUUUUACUUAUUAGGUUUAAAUAUUUUUAGAAAGAAAUAUACUUUAAUUUUUAAUUAUUCGAUACUGAGAUAAAUAAUAUUGAAAAAUAUUAAUGCAUAAUAAGAAAAAAAAAAUGAUGUUAAUAAUUAUACUAAUUUAGUAUUGUAUUGUCGGCGGGGCUCAAAAAUUUAGUGCUUGAUUUAUAAGAAAUUGAUGAUCAUAAUUUUAUUUCAAAUUAAUAUUUAAUCUAAUAAAUAGUAGUGACUUAAUACUCAACUGACAAUUCAGAUCAUUCUAUGCGUGUUAGCGCCGAGUUUUCAUUAAUUAAGGCAUAAAUUAAGGAACAACAAACUUCAUCACACUAUAAAAAAGAAGUAAAGCAUACAACAGUCUUAAUUAUUGCAAUAUUUGUGCAAACACAUACACAUUGUUUGCUUAUUUAGAUCAAGCAUCAACUAGUAAGCAACACACAGUUCAUCUUUAAUAGAUGUUUAAUUUAGUUGUUCACCCAGAAUUGCGCUUGGAGCCAAUCCACAGUAUUCUUAUCCAGCUGAAACGCCUUGGCAAGAACCUCAUCCGAAAUCGGCGGCUUCGCCCCGAAAACUGCAUUGGCUAUAGUGAUCACACCGGGGUUCUGGCUGCUCAGACCGGAUAGCACAACCGCGCUGCUCGCUGCCGGAUUAAAUUGGAAGUGGAUAAGUCCUUGGGGGAAUACGAACACGUCUCCCGUGUUAAGCACCUUCGCGAAAAGCUUGUUGUCAGGGUUAGAGGUGACGAAUCCGACGCAGAGAGUGCCCUCAAGGACGGUGAGGAUCUCGGUGGCGCGCGGGUGGGUGUGGGGAGGGUUUAGACCAUUGGGGGCGAAGUCAAUGCGAGCUAUGGAGAUGCCGAGGGUGUUGAGGCCGGGGAGCUGCGCCACACUGACUAGAGUCACGUUGGAGCCAACCUUGUUCAUGGUGUUUCCAGGCUUGUCGAGACCAGGAAAGAAGAAAUCUUCAGGGGUGGCGAGGUUUGGGUCCUUGCACACGAACCCAUUUACGAAUACUGCACGAAAAUAGGAAAGCAGUUCAGCAAGGCAAAAUUUGGUUUGGGGAUAAAUGUAGAUGAAAUGAAAUUUUUUUAUUCUCUUGUUACUGUAGGGAUCAUCAUAAAAAACUACAAAUAUUCCCCACAUCUGAUGCAUCCAUACAUACAUAGAUACCAUACUUUUAUUCAUAGUCAAUCCCAUGGGAGGUUGAAAUUGUUUUCUUUUUUUUCUUUUAAGAGAAAGGUAGCAAGCUACCUGCUGUAUUCAAUUUUAUUUAAAAAAAUGAACUUAGCUAAAAAUGUGAAGCUAAAAAUGAACUUAGCUUGAAUAGAACUACUACAUAUUUUUACUGAAGCUUGCAGUGUUUGGUAGAAUAAAAAAGAAUAGCUUCAAAUUAUGUGCAUGCUAUCCUCGAAAUAAAAGUUAACCAAAGUAAACAUAGAAUGUUUAGCAAUGCCUUGAAGAAAUAAGUAAAAAGAGAAAAAAGAAUAGUGCGUACUUGGGGAGUUCUUAUCCGCAACGCAGAAGUCUUGGAGGGGGCUAGGAUCAGACGCAAUGGCUCGCGAAGAAACGAGGGCAAGGAGAGUAAGGGCAAGAAUGUAGGGAGCCAUCUCUCUAUCUCUAACCCUCUAUCUCUAUUCCGUAGGAUGCGUGGUGCGAUAACUGAGAUAGAAGAGAUGGCUAUAUAUAGAGGAUGAAGCAUUGGAACAGUCAUUCUUGCAGGAAAAGAAACGAGGACUAGUUAAACAUGUUACUAGAACAAGCUAAAAAGCUAGCAUUAUCCUCAUGCUGUCUUGGGUGUUUUGUCCAAGUCAUAUUAUUAAAGGUUUAUACAGUCAUAGUGAAAUGGUAAGAAAGAAACACGUUUUAGUCUGACUCAGACAGAGGAAACACUAAUAAGAAAAUAAAACUGAAGGCCCAAUCUCAGUUGUUUACCAUUCUGAAACAGAAAGAGAAAAAAUAAUAAUAGCACGAGCAGCAUUACAAAUUUUUGAAUAAUAAUGUAAUGAAAUGAGGGACGAACGACUGAGAUUGAGCUUCGAGUUUUCCAUCUUAAUUUUGUUAGCCUGUAGAUUUGUGCACCGGGUAAUAAGGAAGAAGAUUCAAAGUUUGGACUAGUGAUUUCUUGAGUUGUUAAAAUAUUAUGAAAUCGGAGCAGUUAAGAUUGUUGAAAUUAUAUACUAGAGGUCAUUUUUUUUAUCAUGACUUGAUAACCGAUAUGAGGACUUGACUGGGUAAUAUUGUUUAGUGGAGUCUAGAGAUCCUAGUAAGGAAAAGAUGAGAGAGAGAUUUCCAGGGAAAAAAAAGGAGUUAAAUUAAUACCUUUGGUGGUGCUUAGAGAAAUCUGACGAUCUGCUUUGAUGCAUAAACACCAAUGUUUUUCGAACUAGCCGUCGAACCGGAAACCGGUGCCGAGAAUUCAAAUUAAAACCUGCAUCAAACGAUUCGAAUAUAAUCAUUAGCCUGCCAACAAAAAAUAGAGCCAUUUUAUUAAUAUUAAUAUUAGAAAAGAACUUUGAAUUUUUGUUUUGAUCUGAACAUUAUUGAUUCUUUUUAUUAAUAUUAGAAAAGAACUUUGAAUUUUUGUUUCGGUCUGAACAUUAUUGAUUCUUUACUCUCUUACAAUUGUAGAACCAAAUAGAGCAAUCUUAUUCACCAUUGUAUUUAAUUAAUAUUUUAAACUUUUGGAUGCCACGCUAUCGCGAAUGGUUCAACCAGUGAUCAAACCACUAAACUUUUUUUUUUUGAGAGAUAGGUAGCAUGCUACCUGUUUCGUUCAUUUCAUUUAGAAAUAAACUUAGCUGGAAAUGUGAAUCAACUAUGAUUCAAACUUGGAACCUCGGGUACCUACCACCAAGCCCCUUGUCACUUGCGCUAGGACGGUCGGUAUCAAACCACUAAUCAUUGAGUAGGAAAUAUUUUUGGGUUUAUUACCACUCCCCGUUUCUUAAAACAUCCAAAAACAUCCAGUUUAGCAUAUCUCUUCUGUCUCGCCAAGGGGCAUGAUUUAACAUCCAUGAUUAUGACGAUGAUCUUACGACGGACUAAAAUAAAAAUCCUUGAAGAAGAAGAAGAAAAAAGAUUCUCAUACCACACAAGUUCAGAACUUACAGAAUCAAUAUGAUUAAAAAGUUUGUGCAUCUAGAGGAGAUGAAAAUAUCAUAGAGAUAUUGAAAGGAGAAUUACCAAAAACACCCUCAAAAUUCACCCCAAAUUGCUUUUCAGUUCAUAUACUAAGCCUGCAAAUAGCUAGGGAGUGGUUACUAUUAGGCAAAUAAAUCAAAAUUUCCAUUCCUAACCAGUGUAAAGGAAAGGAUAUUCUAAAGCACAUACUAGGUACAUCAAACAAGAGAUUUCCAACACGAUAGUUUAAUAUAUAUGGAUGUUGUCUAAAUCUCUUUGACUUAUUCAGAUUUAGUUUUUGAAUUCUUAUUUAUGUAGACUAGUCCUCAUCUUAUCUAGAAUAGGGUGUACAAGUAGCAUUUUUCAAGUAUGAUGAUCUCAUUGCUGUCUUCAUUUUUCCCUGUUAGCUUUAAUUGGUAUGUGUUGUUAUGGUUCGUUAUGUUUCAUUAUGUCAAAGCUCAUGUGCUGAUAAAGGUGACAGAUUUCGAAUCAAAAUGAACUCAAGAAUUGAGAAAAAUCAGGUGAGAAGGGAUACAGAUCUGUCAAGUAAUCAAAGAUCUUUAUAAUUAAGUUCAAAUUUACUAGUAAUCCAUAAAUUAAUUCCUAAAAGGAAAAGAAGAGGAGUACGGAGUACUCCAUUAAACAUGAUGAUAAUACUUAAACCUCUAAUAAAUAACCAAAAGAAGAAUGGGAAGCGAAACUGAUAUAAAGGUUAAUAGAGCUGAUAUCAUUUCCAUAUUACGGCAAAGUAAAGAAUACCAUUUGACACUCAGAUAACACAAUCCGGAACGGUACUGCAUAACUUGUAAUUGCUAGUCAAAAAAUUACAACAAGAAUGUACAGAUAUAGUAAAUCAUGAAAUACUCAAGAUACCACAAUUCUUUCUUGAGACAUCUGUUGAUGCAGAAUCGGGUGCGGAUAGGAUUGAUUUGUUUAGGUUUUAAAUUUUUUCUAAUUUUCGGAAUUAUUUUACUUGUUAAUUUGUUUUAGUUGUUUUUGUAAAGAUUUUUAGGAUUUAUCAUAGAGAAUAAAUCCCUAAAAAUUAGAAAUAUGGUUUAGAUUUUUUAGAUAUACUCGAAUUAGGAAAAUAUUCCUAAAAUCUUGGGAUUUGAAUUAGAUUAGGAUUACGGUUGGAUGGUUAUAAAUAUAGUCUAUAAUUUGUAAUUUGGGACGAGUUAUGAUGGAAUAAAAUUUAGGUUUGUGUUUUUACUGCGGUCAUAGUAUCUUUUUCCCCUUCUCUUCUCCGCAUGUGCGCCGGUAAAAUUCUUUUUCCUCAGAGGUUCUAUCUUCUUUUUUUCUCUUCUUCGUCUUUUCUCAUUUCCUCUAUUUUUCUCUUAUCCUUCUUGUAAAUUUGCUUUCUCUAUUAUUAGCUACUUUUAAAAAAAUUACAAAAUAAAAAAAAAAUCAUCAGAACCUUCUUGCUAGAGUCAUACUACUUUUUUGUUUUUUUUCCUUUUUUUUUAAUUACAAAAUUUAAUUUAAAAUUCAUUAAAAUCUUUUAAAAAAUCUGAAAUUUAAUCUAAAUUUUUUAGAAAAUUCUAAAUUUGGUUUUAAAUUGAUUUUGGGCUCAUCACUUGCAAGAUAGAAUAGGGUUUUCUGAAUUUGUCCUGCAUCAUCUGUAUUUUCUCAUAAUAUGAGCAACACUUUUCCAGUCGGAUGUAGAUGACAUGAAUUGCCGACGUGCAUUAACGUCACGUUCAUCCGACUUAAACACCGUAUAUAAGCAUGCGAAAGACACCACUAGGGAAAUCCAAAUGCUAUUACCUGUAUCCAAACUGAAAUGCCAGUAAAGAAGGGUUCAGUGCUACAGAAUGAAAGUUCUAGAGAUGUUCAUGGAGUUAGAUGAAUAAAGUUUCGAAGUUCUUUAAGUUUACAAUUGAAUAACAAACCUGUGAAGAUUUUCCAUGGAACGUUGCCAAGUGUUCCAUUAUCUGACAGUAACUGACGGUAAAUCUGCCGAAACUGACUCAAGACAAUACACAAGAAGCAAUCACAGGGAAAUUAUGUUGGAUUCUAGAGCAGCUUCUUUGCUCCAAAAGCUUGCAGCUCUGCAUUUGCAAGGCAAAAUCGGGAAGUAGAACUACUGUGCUGGAAAUCUAAAAUGAUCAUUGGACCACAAAAAGCAUAAGCCCCAACAUGAAGGUGCUUCUUCUACUAUAAUGGGAAACUGGUCGGAGAACGCAUCAGUGAAAAGGCCAUUAGUGCAAUUUUAAACAGCUUUACUGAACAACACUUUUGCCGAAGGUCCAGCUAGGACAAAUGGGACCCAAGUGAAUCUUCUAAAACAUGCAUGUAAGAAUCUUCUUCCAAGUGCCCAUUCGAGGAACGAAUCCGUGUUCCACCAUUUGCUUUAGUACAGAAUAAGCAUCAUCCAAACUGUCUUCACUACAUAGGCCCUCAAUAAUCAGUUUGUAUGAUGAAAAACUGGGUUUGCUUCCUUGAGAGAUCAUAAAUUCCAUAAAGUCCUUAGCCUUCACAAACUGUUUUUUGCCAAGAAACCCACAAAGAAGUGCUUCAUAAGUUCCUGAAUUAGGGUAACACCCCUUCAGCUUCAUUUCCUUUAGCAGAUUCAAUCCCUCAUCCACCCUUCCUUGCCUGCAAAGGCCACUAAUCAAUACAUUAAAUGUUACCGUAUCAAGAUCAAUACCUUCAUUUUCCAUUCUCUUAUAUACCUCAAAUGCUUCAUCUAAUCUACCAUUUUUACAAAGAGAAUGCAUAAGCGUCGAAUAAGUGGUAGCAUUAGGUUCCAAUCCCUGCUUUGGUAGUUCAUGUAAUAAGGCAAACGCCGCGUCUAGCCUAUUAAGUUGACAUAAGCCCUUUAUAAGAAUAUUAAAGCAACAGGUAUCAACAGUUAUGCCCAAUUUGGACGCACUCAUGUAUAUCUCAUGAACAAUCUCGUACUGUCGAGUACACACAAGCAUGUUUAAAACAUAAUUGAAAGUCUUAACCGAAGGCCAACAAUGAAAACUGGGCAUAUUGCGGAGUGUCUCGAUGGCUUUUUCUGGAUGGUUCGCAACAUUUCCGUACAUUUUGAUCAGUCUAUAAAAGAAUUCAUCAGAAAGUCGGCAAUUCUCAUUCUUAGCCCUCUUCAACAGAUCCUCCACCUCGUUGAAUCUACGUGCAUAGGCUAGUUUGUCGAUUAUUAAACUAUAGAGAGCUUCACUGGGUUUGUAGUCCAUACGAGUCGUGACCUUCUCGAAUGCGCCUGUAAGUAAAUCAGGAUGUCUGAUAUUUGUAAAUAUUUUCAGGACCUCAUUCGGCGCUAGCCAAUCCUUGUGAUCUAAUCUCCUCAACCAGUAACUGUCAUCAACUGGACCAUACUUAAUUUUCGAUAAAGAGGGUAUAAAAUGCUUUGAAAUGCCCAAAUUUCUUCGAUCAACACUGUGAAAAUAAUACAUAGCUCGUGGAACCAAUUUAUUCAUAACUGCAAUAGAUCCUAUCAACCCUGAAUCAGAAAAAUAUCAUCAAAUAUAAACAAUGCAGUGUUUUCUAAUAACCUUUUAGAGGAGCUAAAUCAUGGUAUUCACGGAAGCCCGAGUAAAAUUAGUUAAGAAAAAAAAAAAAAACNCUCCACCUCGUUGAAUCUACGUGCAUAGGCUAGUUUGUCGAUUAUUAAACUAUAGAGAGCUUCACUGGGUUUGUAGUCCAUACGAGUCGUGACCUUCUCGAACGCGCCUGUAAGUAAAUCAGGAUGUCUGAUAUUUGUAAAUAUUUUCAGUACCUCAUUCGGCGCUAGCCAAUCCUUGUGAUCUAAUCUCCUCAACCAGUAACUGUCAUCAACUGGACCAUACUUAAUUUUUGAUAAAGAGGAUAUGAAAUGCUUUGAAAUGCCAGAAUUUCUUAGAUCAACACUGUGAAAAUAAUACAUAGCUUGCGGAACCAAUUUAUUCAUAACUGCAAAAGAUCCUAUCAACCCUGCACCGGAAAAAUAUCAUCAAAUAUAAACAAUCGGUGUUUUAUAAUAACCUUUUAGAGGAGCUAAAUCAUGUUAUUCACGGAAGCCCGAGUAAAUUAGUUAAGAAAAAAAAAACAACUAAGAAAAGGGGAGGUUUAAAAAAUACAAAAACACUAAUUACUUCACCUCUAGGAAAAAGGAAAAUGUUACUUUAUUCUAUGUUUUUUAUUCUAAAGCAUAAUAAUUAUAGAGGAAAUCCAUCCAUCUUUCAUAUUUUUUUAAUCGCAAUCCCUGUACAAAACCAUGAAGUCAAAUAACUCUCCCCAUUCUCCCAAUUUUUGUAUACCAAAUUAAAAACAUUUUAACUUAGAAAAAAAAAAAAGAUAACAACUUUAUGAUCGGAGACAUGAUGAAGUGCGAAACUACAACCCUAAAAAGAUGCGAUUUUUCCACUUGAUUUCGUUUCCUUCUUUCAAUUAAUAGCUAUGUUCUUCUUCAUUGGAGUAAUCUAGGGUUCCAAGUCGAUCAAUUUGGGAAUUUCGCCAAUUACGCUCACAAAUAUGCGAUUUUUUGAAGCGAUUUUGCGAUUCUCCGACUCGAUUCAGAACAGAGAGGGGAAAAGGGAUUACGCACAGCGGAAUCGCUCGGCCCACGAACUCGUGCGCCGCGCCCUGUCGCCUCCGCCGCGUCCCGUGUUCUAUACUUCUAUAGAGAGCACGAAGAGCGCAGCUGCGCAGCAAAAAAUUCGGUGUACGGUGGACCCGGUCUUUUACGACCUAAUUGUGUGGAGAACCCCGAACUAUUGUAUUUUCUAAAGCAUGUCCCCGCUUUUUUUGUUUUUGUUUUAAUUGAAUCGUGUUCCUAGUUAAUUAGAUUGGAGAUUCAGUUAGAUUGAUCAGUUGAUUCUAUCAGAUUUAAUAAUAUUAGUUACUUUUUAAAUGAAUGAAUGAAACUGCAGCAAUUUAUUAUUGGUAAAAACUUGUAAAUUUAACUAACUAAAGCAAUGUUUCGAGCAGUAAAGUGUAGGGGCAUUUUUAAAAGUUUUAGUUUUUAAAAUAAACUUAGCAGUUUCGUUACGCAAACCCAGAACGCGUGGCCUACUGGAUAAGGCCCUGGCCUCCGAAGCGGGAGAUUGUGGGAUCGUGUCCCAUCGCGAUCGUUUUCGUGCUUAAGUACAUGAAUUUUGGUGCAUUAUUAUUUUUUUUAAAAAAAAUGCCUAUACUUUGUCUAUAAAAGAAAAAAAAAAUCUUUAUUUUUUUACUCAUUAUCCCGUGAAUAAGAUAAAUCAUUCACACAUCUUACAAUGGAAUACAUUAUUCUGAUAAAUGAUAAAUUCGCAUCACACUUGUUAACAAAAAAAAAACCCUUAUCGAGUAUAAUCACAAAUUUUAUUUUUUAUGAUGCAUAAUUUUCUACUGAAUAAUUUGUUCUGAUGUAUUUAAGUAGUAAUUAAUAAAGCAAUAACAUGUAUCCUACGAAAGGCCGCUGUGUAAACACAACAAACAUUUUUGGCAUUUUCAAAUCGUGCACGAAUAUGUUAAAGAAUAUUAACAACAACUGUCAUUUUUUAAACAACUUAAGCAGAUAUCAGUUUUUAUAUCCAACGGCUAGCUAGACGGCCUCGGGAGAGGACAGCGCCAUUGUGUAUCAGCGGAGAUGGAAAUAGGCGGAGAGAGCAUGAGAGGGAUAGGUUGAUGGAAGCCGUAGGACAGGAGCCGCCCGCUACGCGGCUAUCGCUGGGGGAUGUCGACCUUGCAAGCUCACGCCGUGGCGGAAAAGCCAUUUGUGGGCACCUUUGGAUCAAUUUGGGGGGGGGGGGGGGGUGAGGGGGGGGGGGGGGGGAAGAAGCUUAGAGAGAGGAGACAGAGAAGAGAUGUUGAGAUGUGGAUGUGGUAUCAACUUUUGGGGGGGGGGGGGGGGGGGAAGGAACUUAGAGGAGGAGAGUAGAGAGAGAGAGUUUGUUGAGAUGUGCUGAGGUGUGGGUUUUAUGUUACGAUGCCAUGCAUGGAAACGUAGUAAACAUUAAAAUUACUUAGAAUAAUAAUCUAAACCUUAUAUUUUAUUUUAUUUUAGAUCUUGUUUACAUAAUCGGUAUCUAGGAUUAAUUACCUGUUCCCGCCAACAACAAAAUACAAAGUAAAAAAAAAAAAGGUGGUGUUGGUGGUCCAUGUGAAAUGGUGCAUGCUAAUGCCUAUUUUGGGGAUUCCAAUAGGAGAGAUGCGUGAAUGUGUGCGUCGGUGGCAUUUGGGUUCCAGUACGGUAAGGAAAUUUAAUUCUCAAUUAUAGGAUGACCAACGGAUACGGUUGAGUGGGAGCAUCGCCGCCGAUCCGCCCAGACUGGAAAAGUAAAUAUAGGAAAAAAUAAAUGGAUUUCGAGCAGGAAACGAUACAAUUUUACGAUCGAGACGGAUUCGGGCAGGACAGACAGAGAAAUUUUGACCCGCGACCGAAUCCGCCCUGAAUCCACCCCGCCCGAAUUUGCCCACGAAAAUUAUUAUAUUUAAAACAAAUAUUUCUAAAAAAAUUAUGUGUUUACAAAAAAAUUUAAAAUACACACAAGUUAGUACUCUCAUUUCUAAUGUAUUUGAAACUUUUGAAUUUUAUUUUGAAUUUUUGAUUGCUUUUUUUUUUAUUUUUAUAAUUGAUAUUGUUAAAUUAUUAUAUAAUAUUAUUAAAAAUUAUUAUUUUAUAUUUUACAAAAUAUUAAUAAUAUUAUAAAUUAUAUAAAAAAAUAUUAGUUGGCUGGCGGAUUCGAGGGCGCCUGGCGGGAGGCGAGUUACAAGGUGGGGCGGAUUAUGGGAUUUAUAUUUUAAUCGUGUCACGGAAUCGGGGAGGAGACGGGAAGAAUUUUGCUAGUCGAGGCGGGAGCGGGGCGAGGAUCCCGCCCUCAGAUCCGCCCCGUUUGGCAUCCCUAAUCUCAUAUAAUCUUUGCACAUCUAUAAUCUACAAACUAUAUGAAGCCAAUUUUUUUGCCACGUGGCAUAUCAUCUUUCAUUCUUCAUAACCGACUUUAAAUCAAACUACCUUUUCUCUUCUCAACGCCCAACCCUUCACCUCCCCACUCCUCUAAUUACAUUACAAUGUUGCAAUAUUUAAUUACAUGCACAUACUAAUAUUCUAUCAAUAAGUUGCUUUAUAACUUUAAUCCACUCUUAUUCUCUAUUAAUCUUCACCCCCUCUUUUUUGUAACUCUUUUGCAUCCACCAUAAAAAACUUUUUGUCAGCGUACAUGUUAACCUUCAUUCUCAUAGCCACAACUUUAAAUCAAACCACCUUCUCCUCUUCUCAACGCCAACCCUUCACCUCCCCACUCUUCUAAUUACAUGUAAGGUGCAAUAUUUAAUUAUUAUGCACAAUAUUAAUAUUUCUAUCAAUGAGUGAACUCUAGCUAUAAUUUUAUUUUUUAACAAUUGAUUUAGUCAUCACAAUUAACUAUGCUUAAUAUGGUAUAGCUCUUCUAUUAUUAAUUAAAUUGUAAAUAUAAAUUUAUUAAAAUUUUUAAAUUUUACUUCUAUUAUCUAUCCGCUGUAUCGCACGGGUCUCUACACUAGUACAUUAUUAUUUCUCAUAAGCUUUACCACGUGUAGCACCAUAAUCUCUCUCUUCUUAAAAUUCUUUUCUGUAACGUUUGCCUCUUCGGCUUCCCGUUCCAUUAAUUUCUUCCAUAACAUAUGCCUCUUUGCUUCCGUUCAUAUUAAUUCCUUCUUUAUAACAUCCCAACCCUCCUCCUUCUGACCACUUAAAUUUUGUAAUGUAUAGUUAUGUAAAGGGUGUGUAUCCUUCCUCUAAUGGUCUCGAAGGACGAGAAGUAUCGGCUAAGAUAUGGGCUUGCCGAAAAGGAUUGAGGCAUUUUGGUAAUUCACGAAAUUGUCGGUGUUAGUAGAGAAUGCCCUUAAAUGAGGAUACAAAGGGUGUCGAUUUUUCUGUAACAAAUUUUUUUCUCCUAUAAUUUUUUCAUCUUUCGUUAUUUUUUAUUAAUUAUAAUUUUAUUUUUAAUUUUUAAAUAUUUUUUAUAUUAUUAAAUUUAUUAAGUAUGAUUAUACGCCCAUCACGCUGAUUCCUACAUAGUAUUAUUUAUACUAUUAUGAAUGGGAGAACCCAGAACUUGCCGUUGUUUGUGCGGAGGGGUUCAGUGGGACCACUUUUUUUUUUUUUUUUUUUUGCCCUUUCCUCACUCUGCUCUCUCUCACUUUUUUUUCCUACUCUUUCUCACUCUCUCUCUCUCACACCCUGCAUCUUUUUUUAUUUUUUCUCUCAAUAUUUUUUUUAUUUUAUCUACAUCAAGUGUAAAAUUUUAUUGCAUAGAUCCAUCCCAUUUUUAAUGUCAAUAUAACAAAAUUAAAAUUUCAUCAAUUAGAUAAUAUUUAUAAUUAAUAAAAAAUUUAUAUAUAAAAAUAAUAGAUUUUACCUUAUAUAAUAAAAUUUUAUAAAUACGGUGUAAAAAAAGUUAUAAACGAGUGCAUUAAGGCAUGCUCAUAUAUUGUGUAAGAUAAAUUUUAACUUUAACCAGAUAAAACUAUCUAAUAUCAGGUUUAGUUUGGUAUUGAGGUCUAAUCUAAUUUAUUAGAUAAAAUAGAGUUUGGAUAAAAGCAUAUAGGAAUAUACUUCUACGUCCUCGGCUGGACUGCAAAAAAUAUUAUAGUAACGGACUAUCGCGAUAUGCAGAACUGAAUAUUCUAUACGGAAACAAAAGUAUUUUUCCAUCGUAUUUUCUUACCGCACAUAACGCAUUUCCCACAAUCCAAACAAAGUCUAAGUACUUGAACUUUAGUUUUUUAGUUAAAAAUUUUACUUAUAUCUUUUUUUUUGUUUUUGCUAUUUUUAAUAGUCGAUUAUAACAAAUUAAAAAUUUCACCUAAUAAAUAUAAGGAAAUCUAUAAAUCAAUAAAAUAUAAAAAUUAUAUGAUUUUUAUCUUUAUUAUAUAUAUAUAUAUAAUAUAAUAUAUAUAUGGUCCGCUACUUAUACUAUGAUGAGUACGAUUGCCCUCGUAUUCAUAAGUUGUUUUCGAUGAUAGAGCUUCCAAAUCGGCGAUCCACACCGUUAAACGUUAUUUACAGCAUCUUAAAACUUCUAGAAAUCAAAUUUAUAAUUUUUCGACAUCAUUUACCUUACGAUCAGAGGUCACAAAUUGACAAUUUUUACGACCGGUAUGGAAUACUUGAGUUUAACGGUAUAAAAGAAUCGGAAUUUGUUGAAUUUUUGAUAGAAAUUCUAUUCACUACAUAGAUAAAGAUCAAUAACUCCGAUCUUUGAAUUGAAGGAUCCCGAUCAUCCUUUUUUUAGGACGUCGUUCGAUUUUGACCGUUCAUUUUAUGCCCACUUGAUGGACUUUGUUAUGGAUUUCGAAAAUUUACGAAAUUUAUUUUCUAGAAGUUUCAAGUACUCUAAUCAUAUUUAACGGAAUGGAUCGUCGAUUCCAGAAGCUCAUCAUGAAAACAACUUAUGAGUACGAGCCUCCAAUACUAUAAUAUAUAGUAGCCAUGGCCUCUCUCUCUCUCUCUCUCUCAUCUCUCUCUCUCUCUCUAUAUAUAUAUAUAAUUUAUAUUUUAUUAUUUAUUUAUUUUUAUCUAUACAACUUAUGAAAGGCGACCCUAACGGAGCCUCCCCGCAUUCGGUGGGGGUCCUACGGACUUUUCGCUCCUUCCGCCUACCCGUUACGUGGCUGCGCCCCCCCCUCCCCCCCCCCCCCCGUGAUCUCCUUUCUUCUCUUUGUCUUUGCCGGGGUGGUCCGCUCUGAUUUUUCGUUCUCUCCGCCAUCGCUGCGGUGGUCGCUGUCCUCCUCAGGAACGUAGCGCCUUUCCGUACGGCACGACGUCCCCCCUUGUCAUUACACUAAUUGGGAACCAAAGAAGGUUCUCCCUUAUUUGUGGGAGGUUGUAGGGCCCACAUAUUUUUUUAAAGGAUUAAUUGCACAUUGGUCCAGAUCUUUUCACUAUUUUUUAUUUUGAUCUCUAUUUUUUUUUUUGCCCCAACUUUUCACUAUUUUUUUUUUGAUCCCUAAUCUUUUUUAAUAGCACUGUUAAAAGAGGUGUUUAAAUUAACAAAAUUGUCAUGUAAGCACUUAGUUGCUUUCUUUUUUUAUUUGUAAAUUCUACCUCGAUGAUAAUAGAAAAAUAUUAUCAUCUCUUUUUAAUACUGUGAUGAGUUUUUAUUUUAUUUUAAAUAAUUUAUUCAUUUUACUUAUUAGGUUUAAUAUUUUUAGAAAGAAAUAUCUUUAAUUUUUAAUUAUUCGAUACUGAGAUAAAUGAUAUUGAAAAAUAUAAUGCAUAAUAAGAAAAAAAAUGUUGUUAUAAUUAUACUAAUUUACUAUUGCAUUGUCUUCCACCGCAUCGCGCGGGGCUCAAAAAUUUAGUGCUUGAUUUAUAAGAAAUUGAUGAUCAUAAUUCUAUUUCAAAUUAAUAUUUAAUCUAAUAAAUAGUUAGUGACUUAAUACUCAACUGACAAUUCAGAUCAUUCCAUGCCUGUUAGCGCGAGUUUUCAUUAUUAAGGCAUAAAUUAAGGAACAACAAACUUCAUCACACUAUAAAAAAAGAAGUAAAGCAUACAACAGUCUUAAUUAUUGCAAUAUUUGUGCAAACAAUACACAUUGUUUGCUUAUUUGAUCAAGCAUCAACUAGUAAGCAAACACACAGUUCAUCUUUAAUAGAUGUUUAAUUUAGUUGUUACCCCGAAUUGCGCUUUGGAGCCAAUCCACAGUAUUCUUAUCCAGCUGAAACGCCUUGGCAAGAACCUAUCCGAAAUCAGGCGGUUCGCCCGAAAAACUGCAUUGGCUUAUAGUGAUCACACCGGGGUUUGGCUGCUGCUCAGACCGGGAUCACAACGCGCUGCUCGCUGCCGGAUUAAAUUGGAAGUGGAUAAGUCCUUGGGGGAAUUACGAACACGUCUCCCGUGUUAAGCACCUUCGCGAAAAGCUUGUUGUCAGGUUAGAGGUGACGAAUCCGACGCAAGAGAGUGCCCUCAAGGACGGUGUAGGAUCUCGGUGUGGCGCGUUCUCGGUGUGGGUGUGGGGAGGGUUUAGACCAUUGUGGGGCGAAGUCAAUGCGAGCUAUUGGAGAUGCGAGGGUGUUGGGCGGGGAGCUCGCCACACUGACUAGAGUCCACGUUGGAGCCAACCUUGUUCAUGGUUUUUCCAGGCUUGUCGAGACCAGGAAAGAGAAAUCUCAGGUGGCGAGGUUUGGGUCCUUGCACACGAACCCAUUUACGAAUAACUGCACGAAAUAGGAAAGCAGUUCAGCAAUGGGAAAUUUGGUUUGGGGAUAAAUGUAGAUGAAAUGAAAUUUUUUUUAUUCUCUUGUUACUGUAGGGAUCAUUCAUAAAAAAACUAAAAAUAUUUCCCCACAUCUGAUGCAUCCAUACAUACAUAGAUACCAUACUUUUAUUCAUAGUCCAAUCCCAUGGGAGGUUGGAAAUUGUUUUUUUUUUUUCUUUUAAGAGAAAGGUAGCAAGCUACUGCGUGUAUUCAAUUUUAUUUAAAAAAAUGAACUGUAGCAAAAAUGUGAAGCUAAAAAUAGACUUAGCUUGAUAGAACUAAUACAUAUUUUACUGAAGCUUGCAGUGUUGGGUAGAAUAAAAAGAAUAGCUUCAAAUUAUGGUGCUGCUAUCCUCGAAAUAAAAGUUAACAAAGUAACAUAGAAUUGUUUAGCAAUUGCCUUGAAGAAAUAAGUAAAAGAGAGAAAAAUGAUCGUGCGUACUUGGGGAGUUCUUAUCCGCAACGCAGAAGUCUUGGAGGGGGCUAGGAUCAGACGCAAUGGCUCGCGAAGAAACGGAGGGCAAGGAGAGUAAGGGCAAGAAUGUAGGGAGCCAUCUCUCUAUCUCUAACCCUAUAUCUCUAUUCCGUAGGAUGCGUGGUGCGUAUAACUGAGAUAGAAGGACGAUGGCUAUAUAUAGGGAUGAAGCAUUGGAACAGUCAUUCUUGCAGGAAAAGAGAACGAGGACUAGUUAAACAUGUUACUAGAACAAGCUAAAAAGCUAGCAUUAUCUCAUGCUGUCUUGGGUGUUUUAGUUCAAGUCAUAUUAUUAAAGGUUUAUACAGUAUAGUGAAAUGGUAAGAAAGAAACACGUUUUAGUCGUGACUCAGACAGAGGAACACUAAUAAGAAAAUAAAACUGAAGGCCCAAUCUCAGUUGUUUACCAUUCUGAACAGAAAGAGAAAAAAUAAUAAUAGCACGAAGCAGCAUUACAAAUUUUUGAAUAAUAAUGUAAUGAAAUGGAGGACGAACGAUGAAGUUGAACUUCGAGUUUUCCAUCUUAAUUUUGUUAGCCUGUAGAUUUUGUGUGCACGUGGUAAUAAGGAAGAAGAUUCAAAGUUUGGACUAGGUGUUUUGAGUUGUUAAAAUUUAUGAAGUCGGAGCAGUUAAGAUUGUUGAAAUUAUACCUGGAGGUCAAUUUUUUGAUAUGACUUGAUAACCGAUAUGAGGACUUGACUGGGUAAUAUUGUUUAGUGGAGUCUAGAGAUCCUAGUAAGAAAAGAUGAGAGAGAGAUUUCCAGGGAAAAAAAAGGAGCUUAAAUUAAUACUUCGGUGGUGCUUAGAGAAAUCUGACGAUCUGCUUUGAUGCAUAAACACCAAUGUUUUCGAACUAGCCGUCGAACCGGAAACCGGUGCGAGAAUUCAAAAUUAAAACCUGCAUCAAACGAUUCGAAUAUAAUCAUUAGCCUGCCAACAAAAAUAGAGCCAUUUUGAUUAAUAUUAUAUUAGAAAAAGAAUUUCAAUUUUGUUUUGAUCUGUAACAUUAUUGAUUCUUUUUAUUAAUAUUAGAAAAGAACUUUGAAUUUUUUGUUUCGGUUCUGAACAUUAUUGUUCUUUACUCUCUUACAAUUGUAGAACCAAAUAGAGCAAUUCUUAUUCACCAUUGUAUUUAAUUAAUAUUUUAAAAUUUUGGAUGCCACGCUAUCGCCGAAUGGUUCAACAGUGAUCAAACCACUAACCUUUUUUUUUUUUGAGAGAGAUAGGUAGCAUCUACCUGUUUCAUUCAUUUAUUUAGAAAUAACUUAGCUAGAAAUGUGAAUCAACUAGGAUUCAAACUUGGAACCUCGGGUACCUACCACAAGCCUCUUGCCACUUCGCUAGGACGGUCGGUAUCAAACACUAUCAUUGAGUAGGAAAUAUUUUUGGGUUUAUUACACUCCCCGUUUCUUAAAACAUCGAAAAAAUCCAGUUUAGCAUAUCUCUUCUGUCUCGCAAGGGGCCAUGAUUUAACAUCCAUGAUUAUGACGAUGAUCUUACGACGGAUAAAAUAAAAAUCCUUGAAGAAGAAGAAGAAAAGAUUCUUCAUACCACACAAGUUCAGAACUUACAGAAUCAAUAUGAUUAAAAAGUUUUGUGGCAUUUAGAGGAGAUGAAAAUAUCAUAGAGAUAUUGAAAGGAGAGAUUACAAAAACACCCUCAAAAUUCACCCAAAUUGCUUUUCAGUUCAUAUAUUAAGCCUGCAAAUAGCUAGGAGUGGUUACUAUUAGGCAAAUAAAUUCAAAAUUUCCAUUCCUAACCAGUGUAAAGGAAAGGAUAUUCUAAAGCACAUAUACGGUACAUCAAAACAAGAGAUUUCCAACACGCGAUAGUUUAUUUAUGGAUGUUGUCUAAUCUCUUUGACUAUUCAGAUUUAGUUUUUUGAAUUCUUAUUUAUGUAGACUUAGUCCUCAUCUUAUCUAGAAUAGGGUGUACAAGUAGCAUUUUUCAAGUAUGAUGAUCUCAUUGCUGUUUCAUUUUCCCUGUUAGCUUUAAUGGUAUGUGUUGUUAUGUUUCGUUAUGUUUCAUUAUGUCAAGCUUCAUGUGCUGAUAAAGGUGACAGAUUGUCGAAUCAAAAUGAACUCAAGAGAUUGAGAAAAAUCAGAGUGAGAAGGAUACAGAUCUGUCAAGUAAUUCAAAGAAUCUUUAUAAUUAAGUUCAAAUUACUAGUAAUCAUAAUUAAUUCUAAAAGGAAAAGAAAGAGGAGUACGGAGUACUCAUUAAACAUGAUAUAAUACUUAAACUCUAAAAAUAACCAAAAGAAGAAUGGGAAGCCGAAACUGAUAUAAAGGUUAAUAGAGCUGAUAUCAUUUCCAUUACGCGCAAAGUAAAGAAUACCAUUUGACACUCAGAUAACAAAUCCGGAACGGUACUGCAUAACUUGUAAUUUGCUAUCAAAAAUUACAACAAGAAUGUACAGAUAUAGUAAAUCAUGAAAAUAUCAAGAUACCACAUUCUUUCUUGAGACAUCUGUUGAUGCAGAUCGGGUGCGGAUAGGAUUGAUUUGUUUAGGUUUUAAUUUUUCUAAUUUCGGAAUUAUUUUACUUGUUAAUUUGUUUUAGUUGUUUUUUGUAAGAUUUUAGGAUUUAUCAUAAGAGAAUAAAUCCUAAAAUUGGAAAUAUGCCGUUUAGAUUUUUUUAGAUAUACUCGAAUUAGGAAAUAUUCCUAAAAUCUUGGGAUUUGAAUUAGAUUAGGAUUACGGUUGGAUGGUUAUAAUAUAGUACUUAUAAUUUGUAAUUUGGGACGAGUUAUGAUGGAUAUAAAAUUUGGGUUUGUGUUUUUACUGCGGUCAUAGUAUCUUUUUCCCUUCUCUUUCCGCAUGGUGCGCCUGGUAAAAUUUUUUUCCUCAGAGGUUCUAUCUUCUUUUUUUCUCUUCUUCAUCUUUUCUCAUUUCCUCUAUUUUUUCUUAUCCUUCUUGUAAAUUUGCUUUCUCUAUAUAUUAGCUACUUUUAAAAAAAUUACAAAAUAAAAAAAAUCAUCAGAACCUUCUUGCUAGAGUCGUACUACUUUUUUGAUUUUUUCUUUUUUUUUAAUUACAAAUUUAAUUUAAAAUUCAUUAAAAUCUUUUAAAAAAAUCUGAAAAUUUAUCUAAAUUUUUUUAGAAAAUUCUAAUUUUGCGUUUUAAUUGAUUUUGGGCUCAUCACUUGCAAGAUAAGUUAGGGGUUUUCUGAAUUUGUCCUGCAUCAUCUGUAUUUUCUCAUAAUAUGAGCAACACUUUUCCAGUCGGAUGUAGAUGACAUGAAUUAGCGACGUGCUUAACGUCACGUUCAUCCGACUUAAACACCGUUUAUAUAAGCAUAGCGAAGACACCACUAGGGAAAUCAAAUGCUAUUACCUGUAUCCAAACUGAAAUGCCAGUAAGAAGGGUUCAGUGCUACAGAAUGAAAGUUCUAGAGAUCUUCAUGCGAGUAAGAUGAAUAAAGUUUCGAGUUCUUUAAGUUACAAUUGAAUAACAAACCUGUGAAGAUUUUUCUGGAAGUUGCCAAGUGUUCCAUUUAUCUGACAGUAACUGACGGUAAAUCUGUCGAACUGACUCAAGACAAUACACAAGAAGCAAUCACAGGAAAUUAUGUGGAGUCUAGAGCAGUUCUUUGCUCCAAAAACUUUGCAGCUCUGCAUUUGCACAGGCAAAUUGGAAGUGGGAACUACUGCUGCUGUGAAAUCUAAAAUGAUCAUUUGGACCACAAAAAGAUAAGCCCCAACAUGAAGGUGCUUCUUCUACUAUAAUGGGAAACUGGUCGGAGAAGAGCAUCAGUGAAAAGGCAUUAGUGCUUUUUUAAACAGCUUAGUGAACAACACUUUGCGAAGGUCCUGCUAGGACAAAUGGGACCACAAGUGAAUCUUCUAAAACAUGCAUGUAAGAAUCUUCUUCCAGUGCCCAUUCGAGGAAUGAAUCCGUGUUCCACCAUUUGCUUUAGUACAGAAUAAGCAUCAUCCAAACUGUUUUCACUACAUAGGCCCUCAAUAAUCAGUUUGUAUGAUGAAAACUUGGGUUUGCUUCCUUUGAGAGUCAUAAAAUUCCAUAAAAGUCUUAGCUUCACAAACUUUUUUUGCAAGAAACCACAAAGAAGUGCUUCAUAAGUUCCUGAAUUAGGGUAACACCCCUUCAGUUCAUUUCCUUUAGCAGAUUCAUCCCUCAUCACCCUUCCCUGCUGCACAAGGCCACUAAUCAAUACAUUAAAUGUUACUGUAUCAAGAUCAAUACUUCAUUUCCAUUCUCUUAUAUACCUCAAAUGCUUCAUCUAAUCUCAAUUUUUACAAAGAGAAUGCAUAAGCUCGAAUAAGUGGAGCAUUGGUUCCAAUCCUAUGCUUUUGGUAGUUCAGGUAAUAAGGCCAAACGCCGGUCUAGCCUAUUAGUUGACAUAAGCCCUUUAUAAGAAUAUUAAAGCAACAGGUAUCAACAGUUAUGCCCAAUUUGGACGCACUCAUGUAUAUCUCAUGAACAAUCUCGUACUGUCGAGUACACACAAGCAUGUUUAAAACAUAAUUGAAAGUCUUAACCGAAGGCCAACAAUGAAAACUGGGCAUAUUGCGGAGUGUCUCGAUGGCUUUUUCGGGAUGGUUCGCAACAUUUCCAUACAUUUUGAUCAGUCUAUAAAAGAAUUCAUCAGAAAGUCGGCAAUUCUCAUUCUUGGCCCUCUUCAACAGAUCCUCCACCUCGUUGAAUCUACGUGCAUAGGCUAGUUUGUCGAUUAUUAAACUAUAGAGAGCUUCACUGGGUUUGUAGUCCAUACGAGUCGUGACCUUCUCGAACGCACCUGUAAGUAAAUCAGGAUGUCUGAUAUUUGUAAAUAUUUUCAGUACCUCAUUCGGCGCUAGCCAAUCCUUGUGAUCUAAUCUCCUCAACCAGUAACUGUCAUCAACUGGACCAUACUUAAUUUUUGAUAAAGAGGAUAUGAAAUGCUUUGAAAUGCCAGAAUUUCUUAGAUCAACACUGUGAAAAUAAUACAUAGCUUGCGGAACCAAUUUAUUCAUAACUGCAAAAGAUCCUAUCAACCCUGCACCAGAAAAAUAUCAUCAUAUAUAAACAAUCGGUGUUUUAUAAUAACCUUUUAGAGGAGCUAAAUCAUGUUAUUCACGGAAGCCCGAGUAAAUUAGUUAAGAAAAAAAAAAACAACUAAGAAAAGGGGAGGUUUAAAAAAUAAAAAAACACUAAUUACUUCACCUCUAGGAAAAAGGAAAAUGUUACUUUAUUCUAUGUUUUAUUCUAAUGCAUAAUAAUUAUAGAGGAAAUCCAUCCAUCUUUUAUAUUUUUUUAAUAUCAAUCCCUGUACAAAACUAUGAAGUCAAAUAACUCUCCCCAUUCUCCCAAUUUUCGUAUACCAAAUUAAAAACAUUUUAACUUGGAAAAAAAAAAAAAAAGAUAACAACUUUAUGAUUGGAGACAUGAUGAAGUGCGAAACUACAACUAAAAAGAUGCGAUUUUUCCACUUGAUUUCGUUUCCUUCUUUCAAUUAACAGCUAUGUUCUUCUUCAUUGGAGUAAUCUAGGGUUCCAGGUCGAUCAACUUGGGAGUUUCGCCAAUUACGCCCACAAAAAUGCGAUUUUUUGAAUCGAUUUUGCGAUUCUCCGACUCGAUUCACAAGAGGGAGGGGAAAAGGGAUUACGCACCGCGGAAUCGCUCGGCCCACGAACUCGUGCGCCGCGCCCUGUCGCCUCCGCCGCGUCCCGUGUUCUAUAGAGACUUAGAGAGCACGAAGAGCGCAGCAAAAAAUUCGGUGUACGGUGGACACGGUCUUUUAACACCUAAUUGCGCGGAGAACCCCAGCCUAUUGUAGUUUCUAAAGCACGUCCCCACUUUUUUUGUUUUUGUUUUAAUUGAAUCGUGUUAGUUAAUUAGAUUGGAGAUUCAGUUAGAUUGAUCAGUUGAUUCUAUCAGAUUUAAUAGUUUUAGUUACUUUUUAAAUGAAUGAAUGAAACUGAAGCAAUUUAUUGUGAUAAAAACUUACAAAUUUAACUAACUAAAACAAUGUUUGGAACACUAAAGUAAAGGGACCUUUUUAAAAUUAAACUUAGCAGUUUCGUUACGCAACCGAGAUCGCGUGGCCUAAUGGAUAAGGCGCUCGCCUCCGGAGCGGGAGAUUGUGGGUUCGAGUCCCAUCGCGAUCGUUUUCUUCGUUUAAUUACAUGAAUUUUGGUGUAUUAUUAAUUUUUUUUUUAAAAAAAAUGCUUACACUUUUUGUCUAUAUAAAAAAAAAUCUAUAUUUUUUUUACUCAUUAUCUCGUGAAUAAGAUAAAUCAUUCACACAUCCUACAAUGGAAUACAUUAUUCCGAUAAAUCAUAAAUUCCCGUCACACUUAUUAACAAAAAAAAAGAAAAAAACCUUAUCGGGCAUAAUCACAAAUUUUACUUUUUACAGUGUUAUGAUAUAUCUAAGUAGUAAUUAAUAAAGCAACAAUAUGUAUCCUAGAAGCGCCGGCGAGACUCGCAAUGUCUGUGGUAUUUUCAAGUCCUGAAAAUUACGGAAUAUAUUAAAGAACAUAAAACAACUGUUAUUUUGUAAAAACUUAAGAAUGAUCAGUUUUUAUAUUCAGCGGGCUAGCUAGGUAGAAUCCGGGAGUAGGCGGAGAGAGCGUGGAGGAGAUCAGGUUGAUGGAAGCCGUAGGACGGGGAGUCGCCCCGCCGUGUGGCUACCGCCGGCCAAGGCGGUUGACCUUGCAAGCCUCACCGCCGUGCGCGGAAAAGGCCAUUGUGGGCACCUUUGGAUCAAUUGGUGUGUUCGGGGAAGAGAUGGAGGAGGAAGAAGAGAGAGAGUUUGUGGGAUGUGGAGGGUUUUAUGUUACGUACGUGCAUGCAUGGAAACUAGUAAAUAUUAAAAUUGUUAGAAUAAUAAUUCUAGGAUAAUUAUCGGUUCCAACAAAAUACAAAGUAAAAGAAAAAAAAAAAACUAUGAUUAAGAUUCGCUUCUCCAAAUGGUCACUUAUAACUGGAUUUUAUGGAAUUAAUCUUUUACGACUGGCCUAUGGAUUACUAUAGCAUAAAAAUAUCCUAUUGUUUAAGAGACGAGGGAAUUAUUAUAAUUUAUAUAUAAAAGGAGAUUUUCAUAUUAUUUUGGCAGAUAUAUAAAAUAUAAUAUUAUAUAUUUAUUAUUAUAAAUUGAUUUUGAGUUAUUGUAAUUAUAUCUUUAAAAUUGCGCACAUAUUGAAAUACUUUUUAUGAGAACACAAUUUUGUCAUUAUUAUUACAACUCUAUGAGGUUUCCAUCUAUUUUGAGCGUUUAGGGAGAGAGUACCAUGUCAGGAAUUUAGAAAAAUUUUUAUGGACAAAGACUUGUCCAUCAUCGAGCAGAAAAGGUGGGCGCCGCACGGACUUUGCGAACGAAAACGUUAAGUCCGUGACAACCAGCUACGUACCAAUAUUGGGAAAAAAAAAAUAUUAUUAUCGUUCAUCAAUUCAUCUUCAUUAGGUCAAAUCUUAAAGCAACGAGGAUGAUUAAUUGUUUGCUCCCCAAUCGAUACGUGUCCUGUUACGUACCAAUUGGAAAAAAGGUUACAAUAACAUAUUACCAUUUUUUUAAAAAAUAAUUAUUCAUAUAUAUCAAAGCUCAUCAUGGAAAAUUUUUUUUCUUUUUUUUUUUUCAUUUGAACUUGCAUCGUAGGAUCUUGGAUAUUCUCUUUUAAUUAAAGCCGCCGCCGCCAACAAAGUCAUGCAAGUGCAUGUAUUGCAAAAAAAAAAAACUUUAAAUGCUUGAAAUUGUAAUAUAAUUAAUUAAUGGGCUAUAUAUAUUUUCAAGGAUAAGCACUAUAGAUCAAAAUGGAUGAUGACCUCGUUCCAUUAACUAUAAUAUAUUGGCAUAUCCAUAUUCAUUACUCCGUAAUUGCAAUUAAAUAUUUUUCUUACUAAGAUGUGUUAUCAUCACCUUGACCUAAUAAUGAAAUUUGUGCAUGUGUAUCUUUUAUUUUAUUUGUUUUUAAGAAUAUAUUGAAUCGCGAGAAUGCUAUAUAUAUAUAUAUAUAUAGAAAUUUACUGAAUAUAAUAAUUACCGCAAGAGAGCAGAUGGCAUCAGACGUACCAUUAGAAAAAAUCUUGAUCCGUAAAUAUCGAUGCAACAAAAUCUUAAUCCCUUAACUACUGCUAAAUAUGAAUUACAUCAAUGGAUCUAAAAAACAAUAGGUUUAAACUAAAUACGGCCUAAUUACUUUAUAACUCCAAAUAAUUAUGCUAGUACUACAAGGUAGCUCUACACAAGAACUUUGGCUUUUCUACUCUAAUUGAACAUGGCGAACAUUUGGGUGCGUUCAAUUACCUAUUAUACGAAACUAGUGGACAAUUUUUUUAAAAAAAAGGAAAAAGAAGAAGAAAGAGAUGACAUAUGGAACCACACAAAUAACCUAGUAAACCAGAUUUUUUUUUUUUUUUUUUUGAGAAAUAGAUAGCACUCUAUCCGCUUCAUUUAUUGAAAAAAUAAAUUAAGCUACAGGAGUACUCAUCACGUCUACCAGGGAAAGUGGAAAUCGCCAUUGACGGUUAUUAGUUCUUCUAUCACACAAUGGAUAAUCCACUCCGCAACGCAGGAUUCGGAACCUCAUGAUCGCGACAGAACACCUUUCGAGCUGUAACAACAGAACGAUAUUACAAGGUAUGAAUAGAAGAGAUGAGUGUUAAAAUGUUUUUGAAGAGAAAGUAGCAGGGGAUUUUUUAAAAAAGUAUUUUUUUGGGGGUAAGAGUGUUGCAGUACAUGUAAGAAACUUAAGAGAUAACUGGAAACAUACCUGGGCACAGUUCCGCGUCGGCGUAAAUCAUAUUCAGUCGCCUGGCGAAGAGCUCUGGCAAAUGCCUUGAAGGUUGCCUCGACGAUAUGGUGUGAGUUCUUCCCAGCAAGCUAAAAAUCCAGAAUAAGAUUUACAGAGCAUUUCAAUUUGGAAUUUCCAGAACCUCAAGCUAUCUAAUAAUUCGAAUGCUAACUUUUGCAGACUAAUAAAUAUGACAGUUUUUUAAAUUCAAAAAUGGAGGAGGCAAAUAAGACCUCAUUAUAUCAAACUGAGUUGAUUUAUAUGACUAAUAAUACAAUAUGAAAUUUAGACUUAAAGAAUGAAAUUACCAUUUAGUUUAUCUUAACAUAAGCAGGAAUGGUGAGACGCAAGUACAAAGAGACACCUGGAUGUUCUAAAAUAAAUUUACGCUAUGUACACACAAUCCGGUUACCUGAUAGAUGUGAAGCGUCAUCCCAGAUGUAUUCACCAAAGACUGGAAAAAAUGUUCCACCAGCUGAAGAUCGAGGAAUUAAUAUCAUAUUGGUCAAGCAUAUAAUAUUUUACUUGAAGAGCAAGAAAACUAUAAUAACAGCAAGGUAGCGCACCAGGCAAGCACAAAAAAGGAAUGCUAUUAUUGCUACUAAGCAAUCAUAUUUCAGAACUUAAAGAGUCAAUUUAAAAAAGCAGAAAAGAAAAGAAAAUAUAGUCUAGAAUUACCUGUGUGUCAUAUGUGCCGACUCUCUCUGUCGGGAUGUUUAAGUCGUAUUUCAAAUGAGGACGGCCUGAUAAAUCCUGGUAAAGAAUAAUUUAGCAAUAAACAUAUGUUCAUCACCAAAUGAAAGUUUUACUAAGAUAUAAUUGGCUACAGAGCAUAUAAGAUGACUAUAUUCUGUAAGAUACAAGACCAUGGUCUUCUACAGAUCUAGGUAAUUGUAAGUGGUAAUGAGCAACGUUUUGGUAGUCUAUCUAAUAAACGACAAAGCAAUCAUUCCCAACAAUGUUUUCAGCUCCAAAUUCACCAAAAUCAUCCUGUAUAUUGAAGCAGAAAAAAAAUAUGCCCAAAGAACAAUUAAUAGCCAAAAAGAAAUGCGUGCACACCUAUGUAAUUUAAAUGAGAAUCAAAAUACACAUGCAGAUAUAUCAAGAGAAUGACAUACAGAGAGAAUGACGUAGAGAGAGACAAAUAAAGAAUCAAAGGUACAAACAAGUAUAUACUGUUUAAUAGACGUUACAACUAGAAAAGGCGUACCAAUAUAACUUCAAUUGCUGCUUCAUCAAGUGGGGCUGCAAAGUGCCCGAACCGGUUAAUUCCUUUCCUAUCUCCAAGUGCUUGAAGUAAUGCCUGCGCAGUUGUAAUGUAAAAUUGUAAACAUCGUUGAAACCUUAUUAUCUAAAUAUUGCGUUGGUAGCGAACAUAAACUAAUUGUUUAGCAGGUUGCAUGGGAGAAUUUUAGAAGAUUGUCGUAAAUUGACAUCCUCCUAUCAGAGAACAUCAUGCAUUCUAAACAUGCAAAGAGACAUUAUCAAAUUGAACUUGAUCAAACGCUAUUUGGUCAAGAAUAUGCCUCUUUAACUUUAACGUGUGAUCUAGGAAAAAGAAAAAGCGAAAGUUUGUGAUACCGAUCCAAUUGCAAGGGCAACAUCUUCAUUCGUAUGAUGAUCAUCAAUAUGUGUAUCACCAGAUGCCUUCACAUACACAUCAAAAAGUCCGUGUGACGCCAGUUGCUGUAAUGUUCAAGCUUCAAGUUAACCAUUUCAGGCGUUCCAAAAAUUUCUUAUAGAAGUUCCAUUAUUAAAAAAAAAAAGGUAUAAAAAACAAAAAAAGAUUAGGCGAAAAUUGACCAUAAAUAAGGAAGGAUUGUUAAUAAUAACAUAUUACCUGCUACUGCUAGCAACUAUCCAUGCUGGUUAUAAAUUAACUUAUUACAUUCUUUUAAACUUGCAACAGAAAACAUUUCAUGUGAAAUGAAGAGACAAAUGCACUAUUUCAGUUUGGAAACCUUGAGCUUAAUUCAUUAGCUUUUCAUCAGCAAUCACCCAAUACCAUUAUGCACUAUAGAAACACAAAGAAAUAGCCAACCAAUACUUACAUCCAGCAUAUGAUCCAAGAAUGGUAUCCCGGUGGUACAAGUCGCAACUCCUGAGCCAUCCAGGUUUAUCUUUACAUGCACAUUUGUCUCCUUGGUGAUCCUUCGAAUCUCUCCAAUCCGAUUUGCUGUCAAUUACAAAUAGCAGAUACUAAAAGGAAGCAAUCACAUACUAGCUUCACGUAUUACCAUGAAAAAAAAAAAAAACACUAAUCAUCAAAUACAUGAACAUCCCACAGAACCAAACUUCGCCAACAUCAACAGAACCUAAUUUGAUAUUAUAGCAUGAAGUUUAAUCACCAAAUACAUAAAGUUUCAGCAAAAUAUGAAGGAAAAGAGCAAAAUAAAAAUGUUAUACUUAUCCCAUAGAACCAAACCUUGCCAAUUAAACCAGAACCUAAUUUGAUUAUAUAGCAGCUAAUGCAACAAAGGUUACCCCAACUAAAUUAGCAAAUGUUUCGUUCCCAAAAUGAGAUCUUUCUCAAAAGCACUCGCAGGCACGAAAUAAAAAUCUUAACUUCGGCAUAAAAUCCUACGAACAGUAGCUUGAAUUAAGAGAAAUAAGCAAAUCGAAGAGGAAUUACGCGAAGAUUCGUCGGCCGCGAUCGGGCCAUUGUUCCCUUCACCAGCAUGAGAAGAUAGAGCAGCCAUGGGGCCAGUCGCCGACCUCAAAGAGAGCGAAGAACCACGAAGGCGGGAGCUUAGAUGGGUGGAUUCAAAGGGGAAGGUGCGCGAAACCCCAACCCUAGAUCUCUCUAGGGUUUUGUCGACAAGGCAAUAGGCGGAGACGGCGGAAGAGGUGGAAAGGCCCAGUACGGUGCUCAUUUAAGGGAGAGACGGAGAAGAUCCGGAGUGAGAGGAGAUGGGGUUGGGUGGAGGCGGAGGAGGUCGUCGUCGUCGUCGGCGGCGGCGACGGCGAUGCGGCGGCGGAGGAGGUGGUGGCGAGAGAGGAGGAGAAGGGGUCGAGAAAGGAGAUGAAAGAGAGGGGGGGGGGGGGGAGAGGAGCAAAAGAGGCAUCAUUUUACUGUAGUGGUAUGGACCGUUCGAUCGACCGUAUGAUUAGAAUCGACGGGUAACUUUGCUUGUCUCUAUAUAGUUAAAAAAUAAAAAUAAAAUUAGAAGAAAAUUAAUUUAACAAAGAAUUAAAAAUUAACCUUAUAACUUUUUUGGGCAUUGAUGAAAAAUCGAAACGUUGACCAGUGAAAUUUCGUUGAAGUUCGUUGCCAUCGUCGCACUUCAACCCGCUUUUCAUCUCCCUCUCAAUUUCCCUCCGCCACACCCCCCCCCCCCCCCCCCCCCCCUCUCUCUCUCUCUCUCUCUCUCCUCUCUCAUCUCUUCGUAGCGUCUCAUCAUCCUCUCUCUCCCUCUUCAUCGCGCUAAAACCCUAAUUUCCAAUCGAAACCCCCAAUUUCUCCACUCUCUAGCCAUGGUCGAGCGACGACGGAGGCCUCUGAUCCUCGCCUCCACCCGCGCCAUCCUCGACUCCGUCCUCAACUCCGCCAAAUCCCUCGGCGCCGCGGAGGGCGACGGCGUUCUCCGCCCUCGUAGGUCUCGCUUCGCCGACGAAGAUGGGGGCUCCGCCUCCGCCUCGCUCUGGCUCAAGGCCGGGAUCCUCCGCUUCGUCCCCGAAGGGGGCGGCGCAGAUGAGGAGUUUAACGAGUUGUCGUCCUUCGUAGGAGUCUCCGCCGACGUUCUCAGGAGCCUGGCGAUUACUUCUGGGUCUGCGGUAAUGAUCGCUUCCUUCUAUUCAGUUUUCCUGCGAUAAAAAAGGGAAAAACAAAGAUGCAUUUUUGUUGUAUUAUUUAGGCAUUUCAAUAACUUCUCUGUAAUUUGAUUUGCUUCUCUUUUAGUUUGGGUGGGUUUGAAUUAUUGUUUGUUAAGCUUUUGUGUAUUAAAGGUUGCAACUUUGAUCAGCCUCUUUCGCCCAGCUUCUGUAUAAGAGCAUUUAAGUAGAACUGUUAAGUAGGACUGCUUAUAGAAGAGCCAAUGAAUUUUUCAUAAUAUCCAACAACAGCUUUUCUCUGCAGUGGAAGUGGAAAGCUUUGAAUUUUGCGCUUCUGGUUUUGUGCCGCAGAAAAUCACACCAGUUCCCCACAAUAGCAAAAGCUUCAAAUUUUUUGUUUGCGAAACGCCUGGUUUAGCAUAUCGGAAAAUUAUUGCUUUUAUAAAUGCCCGCUUGUCCGAUAUCGAUUCCGAUAUCCCUCAAUUUGCUAGAUUUUUAGUACAGAAUUUUUUACGAUUCAUUGUAGUUUAAUAAAUCGCUGACUCUAACUAUGAGAGUCCUGUCAUAUACUUAUAUAAUUAUUGUAAAAUUUUAUACUUUAAGAUUCUGCUUUGUUACUUUUUAUUAUUAUUAUUAUUUUUUACAAUUUAUAUUUUGCUGAUGUGCUAACAUUUACAGGUUCUCAUAAAAAAUCCUGAGACCAAUGUUGGGAGGAUUGUUAAAGCCAUAGUUCUCAAUCGUCCAGUUCUAUCUGAGACUCAGAGAGAAGAGACUCAGUUUGCAAUCUCAACUUCAUUUUCUCGUAACCUAAUGAGUGUCUUGCCUUGUUGCAUAUAUCCAGCACCAACCAAUUUUCCCUUGAAUGAGGUGGUUGCUUAUGUUAGCCCACUUUUGGCCUUUAAUCUCGGAUUGCAUGUCUCUUGCCUUAAGCUUCUUCUUCGUAGGGGAGAAGAAUCGUUCAACUACUUGUCUCAAGUCGAAAGGCAUGAAACAGAAGAGUGUGGAAUAAGUGAUUCUUAUGCACAUGUAGAGCUUGCUCCUUGGCCUGACUUACCUAAAUACGCUUCCCACAUACGAGUUUCUUUUGUAAAAGUUCCUGAAUGUGGUAUCCUCUCUUCUCUUAGGGGAAAUUCUACUACCGAAGCGAGUGACCAUCAAGAUAUGAUAGAUUUUGCUUUGAAUGAGUACUUCAAAGUUGAUAGAUUUCUGGCUAGAGGCGAUGUCUUUUCUGUUCGUAGAAAUUGGAAUUGCAGUUCAGAGUUGUGUCUAGUUUGCAAUGAAAAGAAUGCCAAUGGGCUUUCCAGUAACAUAAUCUACUUCAAGGUAAGGUUCUUAAAUAUCAUCCUUUAGUAAAAAAAAAAAAGUUGACAUUUACUUCAAAUUCAACAUGAAUCCUGAGUAAUCACAGUUUGAGCUUCCAUUAUUUCAUUAGGUAACUGCUAUUGAGCCAGCAGAUGAACCCAUUCUUCGGGUUAACCGUAAUCAAACGGCACUUGUUCUUGGUGGAGGUGCAGCUUCUGCAAUCCCAUCUUAUAACUUUGUUAGCAAUUCCAAUGAACCGAUGCCCUUGCAAGGAGACACAGUGAAGCUUUUGGCAUCUAUUCUUGCACCCGUAUUAUGCCCUUCAAGCCUAUCAUCGAAAUUCAGGGUUUCUGUUUUAUUAUAUGGUCCCUCAGGUGACUUCAUGUUCACUUUUUUGGCUUUUUGAUUGACCACAUUUGGUAUUCACUAGUCAAAUAUAACUCCAAAUUAAACUUAAGCAUGCUAAACACAGGGUGUGGUAAACGAACUGUUGUUAGAUCUGUUGCGCAUCAUCUUGGGUUGCAUGUUGUGGAAUAUAGCUGUCAUGACUUAAUGGAAUCCUCAGAGAGAAGGCUAUCUGCUGUACUGUCGAAUACAUUCAAAGCUACUCAAAGGUAUUUUUAGCAUGUAAUGUGAUUGUUAAGUACACCCAAUAAAUUAUGGUGAUUUAUUUUGGUAUAUAUUGCUUCUUUUUUUGGUUCAAGUGUGAUUAAUCACCUCUUCUUGUAGUUCUGCUUUUACCCCUUGAAAAAGUUGUCAGAUAGCAUGUCAUUUUUUUUCUUUUCCUGUCUACUUGGCAUGACAACUCUCAUAAAGUGACUCUUUUUACUAAUUUAGUUUUGCGCAGGUACUCGCCUUGUAUACUUCUGCUUCGCCACUUUGAUGUGUUUGCAAAUCUCUCUUCUAAUGAAGGUUCACCAUCUGAUCAAGCGGGCAUAACAUCAGAAGUUGCAUCAGUUAUUAGAGAGUUCUCCAACCCACUGCCUGAAGAUGAGGAAUCCUAUCCGGCAAAAGAUGCAAAUGGUGGCCUAGUAAGAAUUUUCUCGUAGUAUUCUUCAUAAAUUUGCAAUUUUUACAUGGAUUUUUAUAUUCAUAUCUCUGCAUAAUCAUCGAUUAGAUACAUUUAUCUUUCUAGUCUAUGAGUUUUCAUAUUACUGCUUGAUAGUAUACUAUAUCAGAUAAAACUACCAGUAUCUUAUGUUGGGAACUGAUCGAGGAGAAGUUGGUUUUGCAAUUCGAAAAGCUUCUCGAAGACUGUUUUAUUGUUUAUUGCAAGAGUGUAUAAGUAAGAAAUCAAGCUUUUCAAAGUCCUUUAUGAAAAAUACAAAAUUUUCUGGCAUAUCCUUCUGUUUAUUUUUUUUUUUUAUUAUUUUUUGGGGUUUGGGGAGGGGGUAUGUAAAAAAUUCUCUUCUGUAUUGAUUGUAUAUAUGUGUGUGUAUUUCUUUUGCUUGUGUAUGGUAGUGGUCAGCUUGUUCUUACUUUGGUGUCUUUUGAGUCAGUAUUUUGUUGAAGCUGAAAGAGUAAGCAGGCACCGAGUGAUACUAAUUGCAGCGGCAGAUAGUUCUGAAGGUCUGCAACCACCUAUUCGUCGCUGCUUCAGCCAUGAGGUUAGCAUGACUUCUUUAAGUGAAGAGCAGCGGAGCAGUAUGAUAUCCGAGACGCUUCGUGGCUUCUCCAAGGUCUCUGAUGAGGUACUUUUUUGGGGUAAAAUGUGUAAAUAAUGUGUGCGAUAUCCUGAAAUGGCGAGUUGGUUUGUAAAUUUUUUUUUGUACAAUUACCUUUUUUUUUUCUUCACCCAAAUGCGGCAAUCUUUUGAGCAUUCCUGAAGGCUAUGUUUUUUUGGGCUUGCAGAGUAUUAAUGAUGAGUUUAUAAAAGAUGUUAUUGCACAAACAUCGGGUUUCAUGCCGAGGGAUAUACUUGCCUUGGUUGCUGAUGCCGGGGCAUCAUUUGUACAAAGAGUUCUUAUUCAGGGUGAUAUAGUUAAAAAAAGAGAAAGUCGUGAGAUUAGUAGUACAAGCUCUAUGGCCAUUGAAGAUAACAAUGGUGUUGAUACGUAUGAAACCAAGCACUUAGGAAUGGAAGAUUUUUCAAGAGCUUUGGAACGAUCAAAGAAAAGAAAUGCUUCUGCACUCGGUACCCCAAAAGUAUGGCCUUUCUUUCUUUUUCAGUUUUUUUUUGAGUUAUUUUACGGAAGCCUGUUACUGAUAGUAUCUGUAUUUUAUUGUGUAGGUAUAAUAUUGGUUUUGUUUGAUUUUAACGCUUAUUAUCAUCUGUGUUUAGGUGCCUAAUGUGAAAUGGGAAGAUGUCGGUGGACUCGAAGAAGUGAAGAAAUCGAUUUUGGAUACAGUUCAGGUAGUACUAGACCAACAGACUGCAAAAUGCCCUCCUUUUCAAUUCAAUUUACUUGUCCACUUAACUCUUGAUUAUUGCCUUGAAAAGAUUUUGGUCUUCCAUUAUAUGCUUGAAGAAGUUCAUAAUACAGCUGCUCUUAUUUUGUUAAUAUCUCUUAAUUGCGUGAUGUUUCAGUUGCCUCUCAUGCACAAGCAUUUAUUUUCAUCUGGAUUGCGCAAGCGAUCAGGCGUUUUGCUUUAUGGACCACCAGGGACAGGGAAGGUUAGUUGUUUGAUUAUUCUUAUUUAUUAUUCCUGUUUGAUCAGCACUUGAAGAUAAAUUUCUCUUCCUGUAUUAUGACUUAAAAUAUUUCUCAUUUAAAAUACUGUUUUGGUGAAUUUUCAGACACUCUUGGCAAAAGCUGUUGCAACUGAGUGCUCGUUAAAUUUUUUGAGUGUGAAAGGACCCGAAUUGAUUAAUAUGUACAUCGGAGAAUCGGAAAAGAACGUCAGAGACAUUUUCCAGAAGGUGAUAUCUUUUCUGUGAAACCUUGUAACUGUAAAGCAAUUUCUGAAAUAUCACUUUUCUUAACAUUACAUAUCUUGCAUCCUCUUUAGGCCAGGUCAGCGCGUCCUUGUGUUAUUUUCUUUGAUGAGCUGGAUUCCCUUGCUCCGGCUAGAGGAGCUUCUGGAGAUUCAGGUGGAGUCAUGGACAGAGUGGUUUCUCAGGUACAAUUGCUUUGCUCUGUAGAAGUGUUGUGUGAGUAAAGUUGCUCGAAGAAAUGCUAAUAGCUUUUCAAUUACAUGUUCCCACAGCAGCUUUUUCUUGUAGCAAAAGCUUCAAACCAGAGCUUUAGCUAUUGGGGCCAUACAAGGUCAUUACAGCUUCUUACAAUGACAAAAGCUUUAGACUCUUGUUUUUGUCAAACGCCUGGCUGCUGUUUCUCAAAAUGGAGAAGCUGCUUGACAAAGUAGGCCAAGCGGGGCCUAUGUAGUUUUAGUAUCUCAUGCUAUGAUUUUUGAGUAUUCAUCAUGUUCAAUUUUGUUUUUGCUAGAUGCUUGCAGAGAUCGAUGGUUUAAAUGAAUCCAGUCAGGUUGUUUUUUUGCCCAAACAUAACUGUGACUUUCUUACUUAUUUUGAUGAGUCAACAAUUUGAAGUGUUUCACUUCUUUUAUUCUCCAGGAUCUAUUUAUUAUAGGAGCAAGCAAUAGACCUGACCUUAUCGACCCUGCUCUCCUUCGACCAGGCCGAUUUGACAAGCUUCUUUAUGUGGGAGUGAACUCCGAUGCAUCCUAUCGGGAGAGGUUUGUUGGCCUUUUUUUAAAAAAAUAAUGAAGAGUUGCAGAUUAAAUCAUGUGUAUGUAGUUAAUCUUGAAAAAGUGAAAAAUGGUAGGGUUCUCAAAGCACUUACCAGGAAAUUUCAGCUGCACGAAGAUGUAUCACUACUCUCAGUAGCUAAGAAGUGUCCUCCAAAUUUCACUGGUGCGGAUAUGUAUGCAUUAUGUGCAGAUGCUUGGUUUCAUGCUGCAAAACGCAAGGUAGUACCUUAAUCUACCCUUCAGAAUAGGUUUUUUUAAUCGUUCAGUAAUUAUCAUCGGUUGCGAAGUGUAUUUGACCCACAAUCUGGUCAUUAGACCAGCACUAAUGGCUUGUGAAAAGCCAUUAAACUUGGUGCCAUGACCAGAGUGCAUCUCUAAUCUACUAUCAUUUAAUCCCUUUAAAUACUUUCCUCUGUUUCAGGUUUCAAAUCAUUCCGCAGAUUCUCCAAACUCUGAAGAAAAAAGCAAUUCAGUUGUCGUUGAAUUUGAUGAUUUUGUGAAGGUAUACAUCGCCAUGCCAGAGUAGAAACGUUAUUGACCAAGCUACUUAAGUGAAUUUGAUUAUUCUACGUGAACAAAUAUCGAUGAUAGGUAUUUCUCUCGUUGGUGCGCAGGUGUUAGGAGAAAUCUCGCCAUCUCUGUCUAUGGCGGAGCUAGCAAAAUACGAACGGCUGAGGGAAAAAUUUGAAGGACCUGCUAAAUGAGGCCAGAUUUACUUCAUCCAUUGUUUGCAGAGGUAAUCAAAUCUCUCCUCCUCAAAUUUUGGAUGAUUAAAUUCUUGCAGCUCAUUCCACCAAAGUUGGUAGUAUGACUUAGAUGUUCCUGCUGAUCAACUUAUUUCUAGAAAGAGAGGGAACUUCUGGAAGAGCCACGUGCUCUCUGAUGUCGAACUAUCUAUGUUGAGGUUCGUCUUAUUUUUAUACUUCAAUACAUAAAGAUUCGCUUUCCAAGAGAAAUUUGCCUUAAUUGGAAUUUGCUCGAUUGCACUACGUAUGAAUAAUUGCUGUUUCAAUGUUCGGCAUUGUCGCACUAUGAACAUGCUGUGCUUAAUUUCAUAGCCUUCAAUUAGCCUAGCAACACAAAAUUCAUCCCAAAUAGGUUAUUUAAUGAUACUCAAUUCAUCGCUCAACUUUAGUUCAGAGAUUGUAGUAGCCAAAACUCUUAGUAAUGAGGAAAUUCACAGAUAUUGAGAGAUGAACUUGUUAGUUCUUGUAAUUAUCUAUUUCCUGAUUAUUUUAUUUUAUUUUUUGAGUGGCAAUUGAAACCUGUCAUAACAUGUGUCAAAUAAUGCAACUUCACCUUCUUUUCCUUUUAAACUUGUCCAUUUAGAGAAAAGUAUGUAUGAUUAGAACGGAAAAUAUUAUGCUAGAAAUAUUUCGUUAUCUAUAUAUUUAAUUACAGGAACUAGCAUGUUGUUUGAUGUUACCCAGUAAGUAUGCCAGAUAAUCAUAUUCUUAGUAACACUAAAUGAGCUAAUGAAAAAAGAGAAAAAUUAAUGGUAUCUCAAUUUGAAUCUGCAAUAAUUUGUCUCUCCUUUUGUGUUCUUUUAGAAUUUUAUUGCAAUAUGUAGUUGAAUAACCUGUAUGGUCUGUGGCCCAGAAUCAAUCAAUUGACAAGGUUACAUAAUUCAAUAUUGGUCCCAAACUACUUAUUUUUCAAAAUGUUGAAGAAUCUACUGUCAAUAAAAUAUUGAAAAAAGAAGAAGAAAAGGAAAUGCAUGUCCUUGUCUAUAUGAUGUUCAAAAGAAUGCAAAGAUGAUAAGUAUCAAACAGAAACAAAUCAUUUUCUUUCAUGGAGAAUAAUUAUCUAUAGGACCUACUAACCUUUUAGCUCAUUAAUAAAUUCCAAUGACCCACUUAGAUUUUAGUUUAGAAUAUACAUGCCUAGCCUAGCAAAUUAUUUCUCCUCCUGUAAUAGUUGACACACAAUCAAGUGUCCAACAUUUUUUAAUCAUAGAAUUAAAAGUAAGCUAGAGCUAAUCAACACGGAAUUGAGCUUCUGAAUAAAAGAUCAAAACCUUUGAUAUCUAUGUAGUACUUGAGAGAUGAUUAGGAUGUGGACUUAAGUCUCAUGAGAUUAGUUGCUAAAAGAUUAGGUUUAAUUGAGUUAUACAUUGGUAGGUCCAAAAUGGUUGUCAUGCAUAAUAACGUCUCGAAUCAUCGGGUGCAACACUUGUUUGAAAAAUAAAACAUCAACAAGAUUACAAGUUUGGGUUCCAGGGAUGCUCACAAGAGUUUGAAAGACACUGUUUUAUUCAUAACCUCAGGGGUCUACCAUGUCCCUUGGUCACCUUUAAGCUUUUCUCUUCUUUUUUCUCUUUUUUUCCCCCCACAAAGUACAGUUAUAUAGCAUUGUUAGGAAAAGCAUCCAUAGAUUUUUCAUUAGAAUAUAUUAUCCAUCAACCAAUAGCUUCUCUUUGCGAAAGAAAAGGCGAAGCUCAUGUCAGCUUUCUGCCACACAGUUUUAGUUUGCCAAAUAUUCUACUAGAGACGACUACAGUUCGAAACUGGGCCUCAAAAUAAGGCCGAAUAAGUGCUAGAAACUGAUCCCUUGGCUUGACUUUUCGAUUGCUUCUACUCUGCAAUUACUUUAGCUUAUCAACUUCCACCACAUUGAAAACAAUGCAACAACGCGGAAUACCCCCAUAAAAGUCUCUUUCAAAGCUCGCUGAUGCGGUCGCAAUUACGCGUGUCGCUCUUAGGGGACCGCCCACGAGCCCAGCAGCAUUGCUCUUGAAAUUAAGAAUGCAAGGGACAAAAAGUGAGUACCUUUCAGUCAUUAUCAAUCUGGCCAUGUACCUGUGAGGAGGACCUGGAACAAAUUGGUUCAUGAGUUCUCACCCAACUACUUUCUGGGCUAUGUUUAGUUCACGAGUGGAAUCGAAAUGAAAAAUGAAAUUCGAUUGCAUUGAAAUGAAAAAUGAAAUGAGGAAUUAUCUAAAAAUAUUUGAUUCAUUAUUGGAAUGGAAAUCGGAAUGGAUUGAUUAAGAGAGAGGAGAGUGACGAAAUGAGAGGAGUAAGUGUUCAUAGUAUUGCAUGGUAAGUACCAUUCACUCCAAGUUGUGUCAUGUUGAAUCAGUUGAUGGAAAAUCUGUCUAAACGAAGAAAUCAUGAUUCAAAGGUGCAUUCAUGGGUUGCACCUUGUCCUAUUUAGGGCUUUGGAUCACUUGAUUCGAAGCUAUGUAAUGUAACACACAAAUCAUGUCCAUAAUAAUAAUAAUAAUCUAACCCAAUGUGCUAUCAUGAAAAAUUGGUUGCUAUUUUGACUCGACUCGGAUUGAUCCAAAUGAUGAGAGCAACAUCAUCAUCAUCAUCACCCACCCCAUGUUUAACCCAAUGUAUCUAACACAAACUUAAGAUAAGGAUUAGAAAUAGACCGCUUAUAUCAUUCAGGACUAGUCGCUUUUAAACAAACAAUCCAAUCAAUUAGAUGUCGCAGCAGUGUUCAAUAAAAAAAUAAAAAAAAAAAAAAAAAAAAAAAAAAAAGAAAAAAAAAAAAGAAGAGUGACAAAUGUUGAGAUGUUAUUAUACUACAUAAACAAUAUUUGAUUGAUCUGUGUCGUCUCUUACAAGCGAAAGAGUCGUAUAUUAAUCAUUUCUAAUAAUAAUACCAACUUUUACUGACACAUUUAGCCCUCUAAUUCAAGCUCUCUCGGGCUUGAGAGAGACCCAAGCUGUGUCAUUACGAGGGUAGGUGAGUCAAAAUUUACACAUAAUUUUCCAAUAAGAGUCAAUUAAUUAGGAUCCCCAUAGUCAAUUACUCAGCAACUUAUCAAAUGGAUGUUGUUAUUUAAUUCUAUGUGUACCCAAUGGGGUACACCAACUCUUUUGGUUCUUUUUAUACAACUAAACCUAAUUUUCCAAUUAUUCAACCUCCAAUUUCAAUUGGUUAAAUAUCAUCAUCUUCUAGAUGAAUCCAAGUUUCCAUUGGUCCUCCUUGGCAUGCCCAUUUUUCUUUUCUUUUUUUUAAAAAAAAAAUUCUAAAUUCCUUAUCAUGGGCUCAACAACUGGGCUAAGUUACAAAAACCAGCUUAACCCCACCCAUUAUUCAAGUCCAUGAUUGCACCUCAUGGACCCGAAUGUAACCGUGACCCGUGGAAUUUCUAGAACCUGAGAGGUGGGCCCUAUGCACUCGCUGUCCUUUUUAAAAUAUAAUAAUGUUUAAUUUUUAAAUAUUUAGUAGAAAAGUAGAAGCAACUAAUUAAAAUAUUUAAAUUUGAAAAAAAUUUGGGAUUAAAAGAGAGAAGGUACGCCCGUGAUCCGGACGGUACGGCUCAACUAUUUGAGUGCAGACAAAAGUUGUGGGGCCCGUGACAGGUUUUGUCUGCAUGCAUGCGUGUCUCAUACACAGUAGCAGAAAAAUAUAGAAGCAGAGUUUUGAAUUUCUGAUCUUAAAGAUAAUCACUGAGUUUGAUUUUAUAUGUAAACUAGUUUUCUCUAGCAUUAACCGAUCGAGUCUCGAAUUGAACUAAAUUUGAAUCGGGUUAAGAUUGGAUUCGACCACACUGGGCGAAUUCGACAUAAUCAAAGAUAAUAGGUGAGGAUUUGAAAUGCUAAGUAGGUUUACUGUGGAUCAGGUUAUUGUGUUGGAUUGAACUUCGAUUCUGCCCAAACCCGUCCCUCUCAUUUUAUUGAAUUGUCCUAUAAAUAAAUGGUUGAGGUGAUGUUGAUGAUUUUAUAUAUAUAUAUAUAUAGAGAGAGAGAGAGAGAGAGAGAGUGAGGCUGAUAUGCUUCUGGAAGUAUAGAGUUUUUCGUAUUUUCAAUUCGUUUUCAAUAUUGAAACUUUCGAAUGAACGAUUCGUUAGACUUGAUUUACAGUAUUUGAAAUAACUAAAAAAUAAAUUUUGCGAUUUUUCGAUAUCAUUUGUCUAGUGAUAGAAGGGGCUCAAAAUCAAUAAUUUUAAUGGCCGUGAUGAGUCGUUUGUGAGUUUAACAGUGUAGAAAUAUUCAAAUCACGUGAAAUUUAGAUAGAAUUUUUUUUAUACUAUAUAAAAUAAGAUCAAUAUCUUUGAUCUAAAAUUUUAAUAUCAUAUCAUCACAUUUUAUAAAAUUUUUGUUUUCGACUGUUAAUUUUGAGCCCUUUCAAUCACUAGACAAAUGAAAUUAAAAAAUUAUAAAAUUUAUUUUUUAGGUAUUUCAAAUACUGUAAAUCAAAUUUUAACGAAGUCGAUUGUCCAUUCGAAAGGUUCAAUAUUAAAAACGGCUUGAAAAUACGGAGAACUCCGUAUUUCCAGAAACAUACCCUCCCUCUCUCUCUCUCUCUCUCUCUCUCUCUCUAUAUAUAUAUAUAUAUAUAUAUAUAUAUAUAUAUAUAUAUAUGGAAUAAUUUCAUAGAUGCCCUUAUGGGAAUCAUUAAUUUCAUCAAUACCCUUCUAAAAUUGGGGGAAUAGUGGUUGUUUGAUAUGAUGCUUCACUGUAUACGCAUUAAUACGUUUUAGAGUCUUCAUACACUAGGUUCCGAUGAGAUGAGUUAAGAAAAUACUUUUCUGAACAUUUUGAUGUACCUAUUCAAUCUUUCAAAAUUUUAAUUUUAUUAUUUAAUUUUUUAUUUACUUAAUUUGAAUCCUUCAAUGUUAUUUUAAUUUUAAAAUUUAAGCUAAUUAAUUAUUUUACUGAAUUUAUAAUUAUGAGUACUAUAUAAAAUAUAUUAACUAAAUCUAUAAGAGAAACGACAUAUUUAAAUAUUAAAGUUAAAGUAUCGUACGUCUAGUGAUUCAAAUAAAAUAAAAUAAAAUAAAAAAUUGAACAAUAAAAUCAAAUUUUUUGUAAAAAAUAAAUAGUUAAAUUAAAAUGAUCUACCGUUGUUUAGGAUUGGCGAGGGUGAGGAGGGUGGCGGUGCACGGGGACGCACGUGCGGGACAACGAAGCGAACGCGCUUCGCGCGAUGGCAUUCCGCGGCUGUCGGGUCGGGGCGGGGAAUGGUUCCGAAUUCUGAUUCCCUCUUUCUUCAGUCUUCUCUCCAACUGUGACUUAACUCAGCUGCCGCGUCUGCUCUGCUCUGCUUAUCUUAUCAUUUUUAUCUUUUUUCUCUUUUUUUUUUUCUUGAUUAAUAAUUAUACACCGUUGAUACACAUUCAUCGAUCAUGUAGAGUUUUUCGCUUAUUGGGUGAUAAAUAUAUAUAUAUAUAAUCUUACAAAUUUAUAGGGAUACGCGGAUAAUCAACUUUUUUUUUUUUUUUUUAUUCAUCGAGCUUCUUCCGUGACAUUUUGGUUGUAGCGGGACGGGAUCUCUGGAGCGAUUGUUCCGGUCCCCUCGCCCAUGCAGGAUGGCAAAAAGGUAAAUUAAUUAUAUGUUCUGAAAAAUAAGAAAAGGGAACGCUACUAAUAAUAAUAAGAAUAAGAAUCUUUGGUGGAGGCAGAUAUUUGAUAAAUAAAUAAAUAUAUAUUGUAAUAUGUACAUAUAUAAAACUAAAUUAAUAGCACUAUUAAGUUUUCAGACUCUGGACGAAGGGAUGUUCAUUGAGGAUGAUAGUAAUUUUUUAAGGUUGAGUAGGUGGUCGGUUGAAUACUAUAAUUUAACCAAUGAAAUUUGUCAAAAAGAUCUAACGAUGAAAAAUUUGAUAGCACCAAGAGUUUUGUGCUAUUGAUAGUAUAGUAGCCUGGCACUAUAUAUAUAUAUAUAUAGAGAGAGAGAGAGAGAGAGAGAGAGAGUAGGGCUACUGUAUUUUUAUGAGUACAGAGUUUUCAUACUUAUAAGUUAUUUUCGAUGAUGGAGCUUCCGAAUCGACGAUUCAUUCCGUUAAAUAUGAUGUAGAAUAUUUGAAACUUAUAAAUAAUAAAUUUUGUAAUUUUUUAAAAUUAUAAUAAAAUCCAUCAAUAGGGCAUAAAAUAAACGAUCAAGAUCGAAUAACAUCAUAAAAAUGGAUGAUCGAAUUUUUUAAUUCAAGAUCGGAGUUAUUAAUCUUUAUUUAGACAAUGAAUAGAAUUUUCUAUCAAAAGUUUAACCGAUUCUGAUUUUUUUAUAAAAUUUUAAAUACUUUAGAUAAUAUUUAACAGUAUGAAUUAUCUAGUCGGACUCUCUCUCUUUAUAUAUUGUUUUUAAAUAAGGAGCUUUGCAAGUAGGAGGUCGGGGACCGCGUUUCGGGACCAAGGGAAGAUAUAAAAAUAAAAUAAAAUAAAAUAAAAUAAAUAAAUAAGAGACCAAACAGGGUCGGCAGGGCCCACCCCGCCCCGCUGUCCGAAUUACCUUUGUGGGGCCCACGAGGAUUACGCGCAUCCCUAUUGGUUGGGGACCUGGCGUUGGAUUCCGCCUACGCGCAGGCGCAGCGCGGUCGGUGCUUUCCAACCGUACGGUCCACCGUACCAUCAUUACUCCGAUCUUAGUUCCGUAGAUCCGGCUCACCCAGGUUCUCCGUGGACCAGGUGUAAAGAAAAUUUCUACGCAGCGGCCCAACCAAGUGCAGUUGUUUAGCGUCCGGAAUUGCCGAUCACGAGAUCGGAGGGUUAGAUUUCCCUCCGAUCCCAAAUUGCCGCUUGAGGAAAAAAUAUCCAAAAAACGAAAAAGAAAAAGAACUAGAUGUGAAUCUACGCGGCAUCUUCGUAGUGCCACAUCGAAUAAUGUAUGAAAAUGUAAGCACCUUAUAUGUAGCUAACAGAUUCUUACUGGCUAUUUGAGCUUAAAUAUUUUAAGUUAAUGGAUUUGGUCCCACGUAAAAUUCGCAAAUCGUAUUGUGGAAUUUGAUUGCUGGUCGAUUGGAGUCUUGUACAAGUACCAUUGGAUCAAUUAAUGCUGUUGGCGGUGAUCACUCCUACUUAUUUGCAAGAAAUUUUCUGCACACCAAUAUAUUUUAAUUGUCUCCGUAAUUUUAAAUAGAAAUUUAAUAAUUCUACCAAAUUUAAUAACCCUAUCUGCUUUUCAACUAACGGAGUACUAGUGUACUAUAGGUUCUUUAAUAUAUAUAUAUAUAUAUAUAUAUAUAUAUAUAUAUAUAUAUAUAUAUAUAUAUGUAUAUGUAGUUAGCGUUUGAUAGCUAAAUGGAAGAUAAAAUUAUUCACUAGCUCAAAAUGGUACUUUUACAAAAGCUCCACAAACUAAAUUAAGCAACAUAAGCAUUAUCUGAUCGUGUUCAUCUCAAUUUCUCUCACACAAAACUUACCGUCUUACCAAAUUAAGAGUAAUUAAAACUGUUAUAUACGUGGUAUAAAUUAAUUAAACCUGAAAACAAAAAUAUUACUGCUCUUCUAAAAGAUCGAACGAGCGAGCUAAAAGUUCUCUUAAAAUUAAUAUCUUGAGAGUAGGAGCCUAUCACACUCCUCAUGUAAAGGAACUUGCAACUAAAAUAUAUGACCUCCAUGGCCACCUAAGAGAAUCGAGAACGACACGAUGAGUUUAAUCUCCAACGUGUUUGCUCAAAGUGGAUUGCUAGCAAUGUGCUUUAGAGAUGAUGAAGGCAUUUGGCACCACCAUACCAUCCAUGAAUAUCAAAAGCUAUGAUCUUUUCCAAACUAUCAAACUAUAUAUGUACAGUUUGUUACCUGUAGUACGUACUUUAGCACUUACCAUGUGCCAAAUGUGACUAUUGAUUCAACAAACUCAAACUCAAACUCAACAACACCUUAUCUCACAUUUAUUAGGUGUUGCCUGGAGAAAAAUGAAGCUUCCUUGGCUACAUGUUAGGCAUAGUAUGAGGUACUUUAUAUAGAAGUUAAUUUGGGUUGCAUGUGGUGUGCAUGAGAGAUACAUGGUAUGUUAACUAAGCUGUGACUCACUGCUAAUGGGAGCACACAUAUUCUAUGUGAACAUGACAUUGUAAUAAUAUAACAUAAAGGGGAAGCUUGAAUUGCCCUAAAUCCUCAUGAUAAGCUAUAAAUAGUUAAAAACUACCAAAUUAAGUGGGACUACACACAUUUGUUUCCAAUAAUAAUGUCAUUACAAUGUGGAGGAAAACUUUUAAUUAGGUAUGUAUAUUCAUAUAUAUACAAACCAUGCAUGUGGAGUAAUAUCUUGUGUGGGAUUUGAGUUUAUGGAAAGUCAUAGGCCUAACCCUAGUUAGAGGAGUUACAUCAAUGUUCCAUGCAUGAGGUGUGGAUUGCUAUUCAUUUGAAAUUGAAAUCAUCGUAGGAUAUUUGGUUAUUCAGUUUUAGCUUAAACAUUUUAUGACCAUGAAACUAGUGUUAGAUGGCAUGCCCAUUUUGGGCAAUUUUGACCUUAAUUACCAGGUACCUCCAGAUAAUUAUCGCUUGAAAAGCACAAAUGUGGCUCACAAAUUAAGUAUUCUAAUUACAAAUUAAGGUGUAGAAAUAAUUAAUGCCUGUCUAGCUAGUUGGGCUUCUAUACAGCUCUGACUCGACUAGAAAAUACUGAAUUAAACAAAUAUUUCUCAUCUACCAAAUUCCAGAGCUAGUGGUUAAUUACACUUAGCAUGUCCCAUGCAACAAAUCUGUUUUUUCAAUUUACUACUUUUCAAUUUACUACUAUAUAUUCAUGAACCAGAAAUAUAUAUAUAUAUAUAUAUAUAUAUAGAGAGAGAGAGAGAGAGAGAGAGAGAGAGAGAGAGAGAGAGAGAGAGAGAGAGUGUCUGAUUAUUAUACUAUUAUGAGUACGAUCGAUUUCGUACUCAUAGUUAUUUUUUAUGAUAAAACUUUCAAAUCGAUAAUCUAUAAUGUUAAACAUGAUUUAGAAUAUUUAAAACUUAUAGAAAUCAUAUUUCAUAAUUUACCUUACGAUCAAAAGAUCUCAAAAUUAACUAAAUUUAAAUGCCGAUAUGGAAUGCUCGCUAGUUUAAAGGUGUGAAAAAAUCAGAAUCGGUUGAAUUUUUGAUAGAAAAUUCUAUUCAUUAUCUAGAUAAAGAUCUAUAACUCCAAUCUUAAAUUGAAAAUUCUGAUCUUUCAUGUUUAGGAGACAGUUUAAUUUUGACUGUUUAUUUUAUACUCGCUUGAUAGAGUUUAUUAUAAUUUCAAAAAUUACAAAGUUUAUUUUUUAAAAAUUUUAAAUACUCUAAAUUAUAUUUAACUGUGUAGAGUAUAAUUUGCCCAACCCCCCCUCUCUCUCUCUCUCUCUCUCU
rnacentral:lncRNA from 1 species